UGCGCACUAACUGAGGGUGAAGGAUGUCGGUUGGGUCUGCUAGGAGGGGCCAGGAGCCGGCCGGCAGAGAGCGGCUCGUGGGUCCCAGGACCCCUGACGUCCCUAGGUUGUACUGGGAGCUUUUGCAAGAAGUGGAAUAUGUUGAAAUACGAAAAUACCUAGAUUUAACAUACCACCUAUCAUAAAGAGAUUCAGGCGCCUUUCUUCUACUUUCUUGGGUGCAAAGGCCUUUUCAUUCCCUUUACCAAUUGCAUAAUCACCCACUGCCUCAAGUAACAACAGAAAAACUUAAACUUGGU
rnacentral:lncRNA from 1 species